rnacentral:lncRNA from 1 species
GUUUCGACACCUCAGAACCAGACCACUGCCUUUCUCAUCAUCUGCUCAAGAGACACGGUUGACCGAGACUUCGGACUCGGGCAGGGCGCCUUAGCUCACUCAGCAGGUGACGUAGCCCCCUAUUUGGAGCCGUCUUCUCCCUUUGUCCAGCUGCCUCUAAGGAUGCGUCUGGAGGGACUUCAACUCACUGUCCGGGACUGAACAUCUCCCGUCUCCCACGGCACCGGGCACACGCUGGGCUCUUCCUGCUGACCUCAGGUAAACUCUCCCCUUUCGGGGCAGACUACAAAAUGCAUCUGGAACUCAAAGAAUGCACAUAAAUACUUUGAGAAAAAUCCGUUUUUAGGUGUAUUCUCCAUUUCCAUAAUAAAUAUUUGGGGAAAUAUCUGAAAACCAAAAAACAUUUUUUUAAAAACUCAACUUUUCAAAGCAGCUUUAUUGUGAUACAAUAUACAUACCAUAGAAUUCACCCAUUAGAAGUGUAAAAUUCAGUGGGUUUUUUUUUUUUUGGUUUAUUCACAGAGUAGAGCAGCCGUCAGCACAGUUAAUUUUAGAACAUUUUUGGUCCACUCAAAAGGAAACUCAGUUCCUACCUCGGUACCUUCCCUCAUCUUGCUUUUUGGUUUUGAGCAGAGAUUUAAAACACGGAGCAGAGAAAGGUCAUUACAAGGGCAAAUCCCUCACGAUCCAGUUCUGUUCGCACUGCCCGUGGUUCUGAUCACCCAUCUUACUGUCUGCGUUUCAGGGGAGCUGGGUUCAGAUGGCAGGAAAAUGAACCUGGCUUUGCCACGCUCCAGUUCACCUGCCUCCUUGCACACCUGAGUUCAGGAGCCUCGUCCCUCCACCAGAGGGCGUGGCAGCAUGGAUGCCAGCCGCACCUGGGCUCUGCCAGGUGUUCCGACCGCAGCCCUUUGGAAGGUUCUGUCCCGCGUCCCCUCGCUGACGGACCCCAGGGCCGGGUGACAUGCCCGCCCACCGCAGACUCAGCAGACGGGCUGAAUGGAGGAAGGUCAUUCCCAUGGCGCGUCCCCGAGACCCGACUCCUGGUGGAGACCCUGCCAGCAGCACGGCCCCCAGACCGUGGCGAGCAGGAACCAGGCGUCCAGAGCCGAUGCGAAAGGCCAGCAAGUUCUCAGCACCAUGGAAGGCCCAGACUUGCCUGGGAGCGGCCCCCAGGACGGGGCAGAAAGGAGAGAGCUGACAGCACGACCUUGGAGCCCAGGGCUGCGGACAGGGGGUACGCAGGGUGGGCCUUCUCUUGCUCAGCUGGCCUGCUCCCCUGCCCACAUUUCUCAGCUCUGCUCCCUCGGAUGCCCCCGCGCUGUCAUCCUCAGUGACCGUGGCUCCAGCAUCUGGAAGCAGCCCCUCCAUGCUGGUUCUGCUCAGGCCGUGCCCUCUGCCCAGAAUUCCCUUCUCUAGCUCCCUGCUCUUCUUUCUUGAGCCUCUGCAUGGACCUCACCAUCCCUCUGUCCCCAAAUUCUGUCCCUGACUUUCCCCUCGGGGGUCCACCCUGGAUUGUAAGGACCUGCCCCCCUUUUCCGCUGUGUGCGGUCCGUUUGAAGUUGGAGCACUUCCUAUUGUUACGAGAUGGCUGUGGUGGCUCCAAGCGUCACCUCCUCUCCUGACAGUGUCCCUAGAAGACCGGGAGGAAAGAGGCUUCCCUUUGAAUGUCUGUCCCUCGCAGAGGGCUGCAGACAUUCCCUAGAAGCAGCCUUCCUGUGUCUCAUUGUCAUAAGCGGGUCAAGCGGCUGCCCUGGACAGGGACAGGGCGGGCAGAGGAGGGAAGGAUGGAGGAGAAAGUGGAGGGCAGGGAGGCGGUGACGGGGGGCGGACGGGCGCGCGGCCGGAUGGGCUAUUUUGCCUGGGUCUCCCGUCAGGCCUGCUUCGUCGGGAUGAGAUGGUAAACUUUAUGGGGAUUGUGACCAGGACGCCGGCAGGCAGGAGGCCUGGAUGCCCGCUCUGGUCUGGACUUGAGGAGACACUGCCGGAAAGGCCGCGGGUCCGCCCAGGCCGUCGGCCUCUCCACUUCCCGGGCCUUCCCGCCGGAACCCUCACGCUCCAGCUCAGACCUGCCCCCCGGCACGCGGGCAGAUCCACUCCACAGCGGGGGCUGUCAAGGCGAGGUCCCCUCUCCCAGGCUCUCUGGUGGUUGGGGGGGGUCUUCUGACCCAGUUCCCUCCAGGAAGACACAAGGGAAACUCUGCUUCCGGCUCAGUGCAAAAAGGACCCCUUGGCCCAUAAUCUGCUUUGGACGCGGCCGUGAGACAGGACGUGAUGCCUGCGUCUCGGGCGCCGUCCUGUAGCCUGAGGACGAAAUGCCAACAGGCUGAGGACGGACACGCCUGGGCCUUGAUAACAUCAUUCAGCCACAAGCCUGGAACUCACUGUGUGCUUCCCCAGACGGAGGUAAUUACCCAGCUUGUGUGUAUGGAGCUGAGACAUCACCCCGAGCCUCCUUUGGGAGUGGCUGCAACGCUGGGAUCGGAGCCGUCACAGAGACUCAGAAAUCAGGAUGGCGGGGAAGGGGGGUGCGUUUUGUGAAGACGGGCUUGUGAGAAAUGCCAACUUUCUAUUGCUUAUGUCAGGUUGGACGUGUGCCCAGCCCUCCCAAACUGCACAGGACCGAAAUCAAGGGUCCCCUCCAGGAGGCGUCGCAGUUGGCGGUGGAGGGAGACUCCAGCGGCGAAGCCUACGUCAAAGACUCGGGAAGCGCAGGAGGCGUGGACCGAGUCCUUUACCCGCGUCCUGUUCGGGGUAACUCAUCUGAAAGCCCACUCUUCCCUGAAUAUCUGCUCUCUGAGGACGGGUGGUGUCUCCAUGACACCAUCCACUUAAGAAGAUGUUGUUGAGCCCAGAUGAAGGCCGAGAUCUGGUCCCAGGAAACGGAGGCCCAACAGCAAGGAAACGCACCCGGACCCUGUCCUCCAGCGGCCUCCACCUGGGCGUAGAGCUGGACAAGCCCGCUGGCCGCUGAACUUGAAUGCGACCAGGAAACCCGCAUCUUUAGAGAAAGCUGGCAGAUCCCACGGUGGCCGUGAGAUCCAGUUAACGUCCCCAGUGAUGAGACACGUGGGUCUUACCGCCACUCUGGGGGGGGGUGAGCCUUGCUUCUGGGGAUCGCCUGGCAAGCGUGCAGCAGGUCAGCGGAUCAGGAGCAAACUUCAGAGGGGCCCACACAGGAGAGCGGUCAACGGAAUACCUGACCUGUGCACGCUUCUGAACGUGCUGUGGUCAUAGGCGCCUGGGAAAGACUGAGGAACUGUCCUCAGCUGGAGGGCACCAGCAGCCGUGACAACCAAAGGCAACACGGGGCCCUGGGCUGGAUCUCGAGAAGAGAAAGGACAUCAGCAGGAAAAGAUGCAAUCUGCAUAGCGUCUGUCCUACCCGGGUUAGUGUCUUGGUUUUGCUGGUGUGGCUGCAGGUGUGUCAGAUGUGGGCACUACGGGAUGUUAGGUACAGACGAGUGAAAACUUUCCUUGUGAUUUUUGAGGCUUUUCUGUAAGUCUAAAAUUAUUUCACAAUAAAAGGUUUUAAUAAUACA